GGAUGCGACAUCAUGGCUGCCGCCCGCCCGCUGCCCGCCGGCCCUGACGCGCCCUCUCGCGGGGUGGCUUCUGCGCACCCGCGGCCGUUACUGUGCCCCCCCCGGCAGGCACUGCUCGAUGUACUCGUUGGAGUACUGGCUGCCGGUGUGGUCAGGCAACGCUAGCGUGCACGCUGGGCUCUGGGGGUGCUCCUCCUGCCCACACACAGUGGUCCCUCUGCGCGGUCCCUCUUCCACAGCUGCAGGUAGGGGAGCAGCCAAGGCUGCGAGCUGCCUUCCUCAGGUUGCCGCCACACAGCUGAGUGAAGCCCAAAUCUAAGUCAAUGCUUGUAACAGCACUGUCCUGAACUUGCAGGAGGCUUCCUUUUCAUCUUCCUAUGAAAGGAGAGGAAAAAACAGCUGCUAACUGGGGACUGAGCUCCUGUGUGCAGGCAGUAGAAACAUUCCAGCUGCUUCAUCUCUAUAACGUUUGGGAUCACUUCCAUAAGUCACUGAUGAAACAAUGGAAUAAAGAUCUGCCACAGCUCCGGUGGGAUGUUAAGUGAUUAAAAUCAGGAGUUGGUUUAUAAGGAUGAAGGUCAUGUGAUGAGGCCUGUGCAGCCCUGAAGCCAGCUGACAGCUGGUUCCCCUUUUCAAUGUAGGAACAUAACAGAUGAUAAAAUACAGUAAGUCAGCGUGCAGCAGGAAACAGAAUAUCUCACCAAGGAAGUCAAAAGUCACUGACAUGUACAGUUACGUACAGGUGCGUGUGUGAGGGAGCGAGAGAGAAGUCUGAAGGCAUUUUUAAGCUCUGUUGAAGAAACAUAAGCACUGAAACCUGGGAGAUGAAAAUGUGAGAUGUAAGAAGGCACCUACAAGUCAGUUGAGAGCAGGAGACGAGUUCUACUGAGCUACUGAAGGUCCACUCUUUCCAGACAAUUUUAGAUUUGUGAGGCUUUUCUGGAGUCCCAGACAGGCGGGUAAGGACAGAAACUCUCCUCUCUCAAGAGCAGCAGUGUGGAGGAAGAUGGCACACCAGUUCUAAAUUCAGCUCACAUAGCUAUCUUACUCUUACAUGUUGAGCCUUCCUGCAGACAUCAAGGAUUCUUCUGGCCUUCUUCUUGCUAGACUGAACAAGCUCUCUGUCCUCUGCCUAUGAUGCUUCAUUUCGGAUAAUGCCACCAGCCUUACGCUUCACUUAUUUCACUAUGAAUUCAAAUUGAACGUGGAUGAACAUAAUAGUGGUAGUACACUUAUUCACUGCAUAUACGCAAGAUGUUUGCUUUUGCUGACAAUAAAAGCUGCUCUGUAUAAUUUCUGUAGAAAACAGCUUUUCACUCUUCACUGGUUUUAAAAUUAGUUAGGGGACCUCUUAUUGGAAUGUUUAACUAUAGACUUGUGAAAUAAUGAGAGUUCCUUAAGACUGUUUUAAGUAGUUGCUUACAAAUGUAUCUAAAAACAAAUGAAAGACAUGGCUGCAUAGUAAACAUGCAUGAGGUUAUGUUUCCUGUAUUGAAAUCCAUUGUUUCAGUGGAAGAUUCCUAAAAAUUCUACUACAAGAGUUGACAUUAGAGAACAAGUGUUGGUCGUCCAAAUGAAAGCUCAGGUGGAAGUGAAAGCCAAGCAAAAUCCUUUCCUUUUCGUGCAUCAUCACCAUCCAUAAAUAUUCCAUAAGCUCAGUUAGACCCUAAGCUACACCUGUAAAGUUCAUUUUGCAGUGAGGUGGCAGAACUAUAAAUAAGGACAGGAAUGAUUCUGCAAUUGGUAAUCCAGGCCAGAUUCUCAGUGGGUAUAAAUCAUCAGACAUUACCAACUUCAGUGGAGCUCUUUUUAUUUAUUCUUAGUACCUGCCAUGCAGUUUAUAUGCCUGCCAGUGCUUGGUGAGAGAAAAGAGAACAUAACUCACUUUCUCAUAGGCUCUUCAAGGCUCAUGCAAUAAAAUAAUGUAUUGUUUUGACAUUAAAGUAAAGAGAUGAGAUUUGGAAUACAAAGCAGAGAUAGGAGCAGCUGAGUAGGAAGGUGACAUUCCAACAAGAUAUUUUUUUCUGGUGGCUCUGUAUUUGCAAAUUUUGAUAUAUUAUGAUCUAAAGUAGAUGGCUAAAGUUAUCAAUGUAGGAUGAAUUCUGCACUGCCAUUGUCAGAACAGUUAUUUAUGUGCCAACAAGAUGCCAUAACAUAGAAUAUCACAGACUAGAAUAGCCGCCAAUUCUAGUCUUCAUUUUUCUGUAUUUUAUGGAACCACUAAUUCUAUUCUACUUCCACUUAGAUGAAUUUCUGUGUUACUGGUUUAGCAUAGCUGCAAUCUUGUGCUUUGCAUAUGCCAUAUAUUUGAAUGAGUAUACGCUGCAAACAUAUUAUUCCUAUGAAAAUAAGUUUGUGAUUCUAUAGAACACAUUCAAGGAUGAGUUGUUGGAUUAUAGCACUUUCUACAACCUGCAGUAUAAGUGCAUAGCCAGAGCUACUCUAUGCCGAUUUGAUUCUGUAUGCUAGUUUCUCCUCAGUGAGCACAUCUUCCUCCUUAGGUUUCCAUCCAGCUGACAGGGAUGGAACUUUCAAUGCUACUUCCUUUCUACUACCUCACUGUGAGACUGAAUCCUUCGUUCCUGGGUGGCAGCAGAAACCUUCUGUAAAAACCAGAGGUUUUUGUUCUCCAGCAAUGAAAAAAACUGUACAUAAACUAUGUAUAUAAUUCCAUUUUUAUCUGGGCAUCAUAGUUUU